UACAUGGGGUGCAAACGUUGCUCGGAAUUAUUGGGCGUAAAGAGCUCGUAGGCGGUCUGUCGCGUCGGAUGUGAAAACCCAGGGCUCAACCCUGGGCCUGCAUUCGAUACGGGCAGACUAGAGUUCGGUAGGGGAGACUGGAAUUCCUGGUGUAGCGGUGAAAUGCGCAGAUAUCAGGAGGAACACCGGUGGCGAAGGCGGCUCACUGGGCUGACCUUGACGCUGAGGCGCGAAGGCGUGGGGAGCGAACGGG
rnacentral:rRNA from 1 species